GAUGAACGCUGGCGGCGUGCCUAAUACAUGCCAGUCGAGCGAACGGACGAGAAGCUUGCUUUUCUGAUGUUAGCGGCAGACGGGUGAGUAACACGUGGAUAACCUACCUAUAAGACUGGGAUAACUUCGGGAAACCGGAGCUAAUACCGGAUAAUAUUUUGAACCGCAUGGUUCAAAAGUGAAAGACGGUCUUGCUGUCACUUAUAGAUGGAUCCGCGCUGCAUUAGCUAGUUGGUAAGGUAACGGCUUACCAAGGCAACGAUGCAUAGCCGACCUGAGAGGGUGAUCGGCCACACUGGAACUGAGACACGGUCCAGACUCCUACGGGAGGCAGCAGUAGGGAAUCUUCCGCAAUGGGCGAAAGCCUGACGGAGCAACGCCGCGUGAGUGAUGAAGGUCUUCGGAUCGUAAAACUCUGUUAUUAGGGAAGAACAUAUGUGUAAGUAACUGUGCACAUCUUGACGGUACCUAAUCAGAAAGCCACGGCUAACUACGUG
rnacentral:rRNA from 1 species